GGGAACUCCCACACGUCUUCAUUCAAAAGUAAUCUGUUCGGGUUUUUCCAGGAUCAUUUCCAACCAUCCCCUGACAAGUAAACGCUCCUUCAGGGAGCAUAUACAAGUUGAACAGAAGAGGUCCAAGGACUGACCCCUAAAGACAGCAAAGCUACCAGGAUGUCCUGCCUUUGGAUGAGUCUGAGUCUGCUCUUUGUCCUACAGCACAGCGUCUCAUCAGAUGAAGACGUGAAAGUGAACUGCCCCCAAACAGUGGAAGUCAAAGCUGGGGACUCAGCAAUGAUAAACUGCAGCAUAAAAUGCAACGGAAUUUACUGUAAUGGCACAAGUUUUAACUGGAGUGAUACACGUGAACCUGAUCUGUGUGAAAAUAACAACAGCUACAAGUGUGAAUGGGAUAACAGGACCUAUGUGUCGCUGACCAUCCUGAAAGCCAUGACGGAUGAAACUGUCAGAGUUAAUGUUUUAUUAGUAUGUGGUUUGUACGACAAUAGUACACAAAUAAAGAUCCAAGCGUCUUCUGAGAAAAUAGAGAGCCCAUCUGACGACACGGGGAGUUGGACCAUUGUGAUAGCCAUCAUGAUUUCUGUUUUCAGUGUCAUCAUUAUUGUAGGAAUUUUAUUUUUCCUGUAUCGAACCAAAAAGUUCUCAAAAACUGCCUCACACCAAG